CACACAACGGGGUUUCGGGGCUGUGGACCCUGUGCCAGGAAAGGAAGGGCGCAGCUCCUGCAAUGCGGAGCAGCCAGGGCAGUGGGCACCAGGCUUUAGCCUCCCUUUCUCACCCUACAGAGGGCAGGCCCUUCAGCUCCAUUCUCCUCCAAGGCUGCAGAGGGGGCAGGAAUUGGGGGUGACAGGAGAGCUGUAAGGUCUCCAGUGGGUCAUUCUGGGCCCAGAGAUGGGUGCUGAAGCUCCCACGCCUGCCUGUGAAAAUGGAGUCCUCUCUCACCUGGGAGAGCCAGGUGCUGCCCCGAGAAGGAUGCAUUUAUGGCUUCAUGAAGUCUUUCCUGACCCCCGAUGCUGCUGACUAUAGAGACAAAGUCUCACUAUGUUGCUCAGGCUGGUCUUGAACUCCUGGCCUCAAGCGAUCCUCCCACCUUAGCCUCCCAAAGAGUUGGGAUUAUAGACAUGAGCCACUGCACCUGGCCGACCUUGGGCAAGUUCUUAAACCCUUCAAAGCCUCAUUUUUCUCCAAUCAUAAAAGGGAAAGAUGGUAAUAUUUUCCCCUCCAAAUUCUUGUCGGAUGCCCUCACAGAAUUGAGAUUAUGUACGUAAAACACCAGGUGCCUAACCCGGCACAGAGCAGGAGGGCUAAGCGUGACAUCCAGCACGUGGUCAGUGGAAUCCAGUAUUCCUACCCACCUCUCUAGUCUCCCCUCCACCCCUCUCCCUUUCAGAGGCACCAAGCUGCUUGUGGUCUUGUCUAUUCCCACUCCCUGCCUGACUGAACAUUUUCUCCACCUCCUGAUCAUCAGCAGCAGAAACUGGCUGCUCUUCCUCCUGGGUAGACAGCCAGACUGUAUUUCCCAGCUGCCCCUGCAGUGAGAUGUGGCCAUCGGAGCCAGCAUUGGCCAAUGGACUCUGCAUGGGAGUGACGCAUGCUGCCUCCAGGCUUGUCCCUAAAACCUCCCACGUGUCCUCCGCCUGCUCUUCCCACUUCCAAGGAGCACGGCAAUUGUGGAAGACCCAGAUUAGUGAUGGCAGAACCAUAGAUGGGAGGAACCUGGGUCCCUGACUUAAAGUAUCAUGGAUUUGGAUGUUCCCUUAGUGAGAAAUAAACUUCCAUUGUGUUUAAGCCUUU
rnacentral:lncRNA from 1 species